UACGUAGGGGGGCAAGCGUUGUCCGGAGUUACUGGGCGUAAAGGGCACGCAGGCGGUCGCGUAAGAGUGCGGGGGACAGUGGGCGGCUUAACUGCCCAAGAGUCGCACAGACUGCGUGACUAGAGGGCCAGAGAGGGACCUGGAAUUCCGGGUGGAGCGGUGAAAUGCGUAGAGAUCCGGAGGAACACCAAUGGCGAAGGCAGGGUCCUGGCUGGGUAGCUGACGCUGAGGUGCGAAAGCCAGGGGGAGCGAACGGG
rnacentral:rRNA from 1 species